rnacentral:misc_RNA from 1 species
CAUCCUCAAACCUUCUUGGUUUCUUGACCGGGAAGGCUUUGGACUUUGGAGGCUUUUGCUGGCGUUCCUUUGUUGGAGCCAGCUCCUCUGAAAUGAAUUAGUGGGGUCUGCUUUGCUGAUCCUUGACGUGAUAAGAUGUUUUCUACGUCUCGGGUUUUUUGCACUCCUGCUUCUAACCGUCUUCACAGAAGACAAAUGGUCUGGUGAUCGUCACUUGACCCACGAA